GACGAACGCUGGCGGCGUGCUUAACACAUGCAAGUCGAGCGGUAAGGCCCUUUCGGGGGUACACGAGCGGCGAACGGGUGAGUAACACGUGGGUGACCUGCCCUCAGCUCUGGGAUAAGCCUGGGAAACUGGGUCUAAUACUGGAUAUGACUCCACGGUGCAUGUCGUGGGGUGGAAAGCCUUGUGCGGCUGAGGAUGGGCCCGCGGCCUAUCAGCUUGUUGGUGGGGUGANGGCCUACCAAGGCGACGACGGGUAGCCGGCCUGAGAGGGCGACCGGCCACACUGGGACUGAGACACGGCCCAGACUCCUACGGGAGGCAGCAGUGGGGAAUCUUGCGCAAUGGGCGAAAGCCUGACGCAGCGACGCCGCGUGAGGGAUGACGGCCUCGGUU
rnacentral:rRNA from 1 species